GACGAACGCUGGCGGCGUGCUUAACACAUGCAAGUCGAACGGUGAAGCGCCUUCCUUUUUGGUGGGUGUGGAUGAGUGGCGAACGGGUGAGUAACACGUGAGUAACCUGCCCCCUUCUUCUGGAUAACCGCAUGAAAGUGUGGCUAAUACGGGAUAUUCUGGGUCUGUCGCAUGAUGGGUCUGGGAAAGAUAUUGUUUCGGUGGGGGAUGGGCUCGCGGCCUAUCAGCUUGUUGGUGGGGUGAUGGCCUACCAAGGCGGUGACGGGUAGCCGGCCUGAGAGGGUGUACGGUCACACGGGGACUGAGACACGGCCCAGACUCCGAAGGGAGGCAGCAGUGGGGAAUAUUGGACAAUGGGCGAAAGCCUGAUGCAGCGACGCCGCGUGAGGGAUGGAGGCCUUCGGGUUGUGAACCUCUUUCGCCAGUGAAGCAGGCCUGCCUCGUUUGUGGGUGGGUUGACGGUAGCUGGAGAAGAAGCGCCGGCUAACUACGUG
rnacentral:rRNA from 1 species